AACGAACGCUGGCGGCAUGCCUAACACAUGCAAGUCGAACGAGACCUUCGGGUCUAGUGGCGCACGGGUGCGUAACGCGUGGGAACCUGCCCUUAAGUUCGGAAUAACUCCCCGAAAGGGGUGCUAAUACCGGAUAAUGUCUUCGGACCAAAGAUUUAUCGCCUUUGGAUGGGCCCGCGUUGGAUUAGCUAGUUGGUAGGGUAAAAGCCUACCAAGGCGACGAUCCAUAGCUGGUCUGAGAGGAUGAUCAGCCACACUGGGACUGAGACACGGCCCAGACUCCUACGGGAGGCAGCAGUGGGGAAUAAUGGACAAUGGGCGAAAGCCUGAUCCAGCAAUGCCGCGUGAGUGAUGAAGGCCUUAGGGUUGUAAAGCUCUUUUACCCGGGAUGAUAAUGACAGUACCGGGAGAAUAAGCUCCGGCUAACUCCGUG
rnacentral:rRNA from 1 species